rnacentral:tRNA from 1 species
GCCCUGGUUGUGUAGUGGCCUAGCACAUGACCCUGUCACGGUCAUAGCCCGAGUUCAAAACUGAAAGUCUCGGCCGGGGCG